UAUGGUGGCUGAAAGGCGACGUCAUCCAACUCGCGAUGUAGGCCGUAGGAUCGCUCGAUCAUACGACCACGAUCAAAAGGAUACCCUCGUGGGCUCGGAUUGACUCGCGAGUCGACUCGGUAGAAUCGGUCGACUCGUCCGAGCACCCGAUUGAACCAGAUGGUCUCAAACCUCAGCCCCACACCCCUCCCGACCACCCCGGCGCGGACCCGUGCCCUAAACGCAGUCUCCCUUUCUCCCCAGCGACUGUUUUGGCGUAUCCUCGGCGCACGGCGGUUGACUUCCUCUCCAUCGGCGAACGGCGGCAAGCUCUUGUCGUUGCGGCGUUUUCCUCGGCGAACGGCGGCGGCUUCUUCCUCUCCUGGUAUCUCUGUCUUUCUCCUCCUCCUCCUCUUCCUUCUUCGCGAUCGCACACUCCCUUCUUCUCAUGGCAAGAAGUGGAGACCGAGGAGCAAAGGAAGGCGAAGAAGAAGAGGAACAUCACCGAAACCCCUUCCUUUCUAAUAGCAUCAACAAGCCUUGGACUUCCAAAACUCAGUUCAGGAGUGAAGUAUCCAAGGCUUGUUGGGAUGAGGAGAUGGGGAUGGGAGAGAUCAUUGAAAAGAAGGGAAGCUUGUGGGCCACUACCGGAGUCAUUCGGAACGGCAAGCUAUAUUGUCACAUUGAAGAAAUCCUGUUUUUGGCUGAAAGAGGGGCAUUGAUUCUCACAAGUCCUGAUGGUAAGACAAUUAAUGUUGGAGAUAUAUACAAGAUGAUUCUAGGAUCAAAGUUUGGGUGUUCCUGGGAGUCCUUCGAGGCGUACAGGCACUUAAAAUCACUUGGCUACAUAGUUCAGCGAUAUGGCAUACCUUGGACAUUGAAGAAUGAUAUUAUCUGCUGCAGCUCCAAUUCACCAUCAGAAAAUAAUACAAGAUGUUUUGAAAUUUCAAACUUAUUACAAGAUAUGCAGAUCAGUGAGUUGAAGCCGACAUUUAAAGUAUAUCUGCCUAAUAGCAAGUUUCGAAAAUCUUCUCCCAGUGAUCCAAGUUUCCUGCUCUGUUUAUUAAGUGGGAAUCCACCUUCAAGAUCCGAAGUAGAAAAUCUUGAGAAAAAAUGUGAUGGUUUACCCUUGAAGUUCUGUUACGUAGACCAUGGACGGGUCAGUUUCUUUUCGUUUGAUAAAGAACGACUCCCAACCUUGCCGUGAUAACUUUUAUUCUGAUUGAUUGACAAGGAAAACUAUUCUGCUUGUAAGCUGGAUGCAUGUGUACUGAUGAUGAUAUGUAGUCUUAUGGGAGGAAUCGAUUUGUGCCAGAGAUCAGGCAUGAUGACGGAAGUCUUGUGUUUGCCUAUUCUAAGGAUCAUACGUUUGAUUAAAAAUUCUUGUGCAUGCAUAGCUUACGGGGUGAAGGAACAAGCGAACGAUGGCUAAUGUCACUGCUGAAUGGAAAUGUUAUGUAACCCUACAUUUAUCAUCAUCGUCGUCUUUUUGGAACGAGAAUUUAAGAGAGUUUUAUCUCUCUAGGAUGCAGGUCAUGAUUUUGUUGUUGAUGUUGGAUAUAUGGCUUAUUUCCUUGGAUAUGCCUAUUGAGUUAGAUAAAAUACUGUUUCAUAUGAAAUGUAUUGACGAGUUUAUUGA